AAAUAAGAAAUUUUUAAAAUUUCUUAUAGUAACCUUUAGCUAAAAUACUACAACAAAUUAGGUAAUUUCACCCUUAUAUUACCACUCGCUUCUGAAGCUGUUGCUACACGCAGGUUUUGCAAUUACACUUUCUUUUUUCUUUUAUUUUAAUUACAAUAAUAAUUAUAACAAUAUAAUAACAGAGAAAAAGAGGGACAAUCAUGGUCUAUCUCGCCGGUGCCGGACACAACACAGUCGUCGGAAUGGAUAAUCGGAGGCCAAAAUUCUCUACGUCAAUUUCUCCGAACAGCAUAAUUUCAACGCUCUACGACGUCUCUUCUUUGUGUCGGGGUUGCGGAGAACAUGACUUCAGUAGCGCUUCUGAAUCAGCUUGGACAGAUUUUCCCGUAGAGAACGCCUACGAGCUGUUAGGAGUGUCUGAGACCAGUUCCUUUACCGAAAUUAAAGCGUCGUUUCGAAAAUUGGCCAAAGAAACUCACCCAGACCUCGCUGAGUCAAGCAAUGACUCCAGUGCGUCUCGACGAUUUGUGCAAAUUCUGGCUGCCUACGAGAUUCUUUCAGAUUCUCAAAAGAGAGCCCAUUAUGACAUGUACCUGUUGUCUCAGAAAAAGCUUAUGCAAAAGCAUUCUGAACAGGGUUCAAAACUGUAUAUUUACAAAUCACAAGCUACUGCGUUCAAGGAGAUGGAAGUUGUUGAAUGGUUAAAAUGGUACAGAUUAACCAUAAAUAAUAUCUUGUCAGAAAAGAGGGUGGUAGAUGGAACAGGCUAUUUUGAUGUUCUUGAGAGAGAUUUUUAUUCAGCUAUUCAUGCAGCAUAUUAUGGUCCUGAAAUUGAUUCUAUGCCCAUGGAAUUUCUUCCUGACUGCUUUGAGGCUGAGGAGAGGUCCUCUUAUGAAACUCCUGAGGUUUUGCACUUAGUUUCAGGUCGUGAUCUUUUCGGAAUGGUUUGCCUAGCCAACAAGGUUCCAGAGAUAUCAACUAUUAACAAUGAAAUGUUAACAUCUUUUAGAUCCUUCCAUUCAGCCUCGUGUCAAUCUAUAACAAAUGUGAAUGUCUACAGCAAUGCAGAAAGAUCAGAUGAUUUUGAAACCUAUCAAGGUCUCAGCCCUAAAACUUCAGGUAUUGUAUCAGAUGCAUAUAGACAUCUUGAAUUGCACAUCUCUGGAAGAGUUGUUGCUACAGCAUCUAGGACCCUACCUAGAAGCUGUUCUGAUGUAAUGCAGACAGAAGAUACCGAAGAUCACAUUCAAGUGUUCCUUAACUUAUACGAAGAUCCCAAACAUAUCAUCAGUGAUUUUUGGAAAGGUUACCUAGCAAAUGGUACAGUUGGAAGAAGAAUUCAUUUGGGAACUAUAUCUGGACUUGGGAGCAGUCCAGAUGAAGGUUGUUGUUAUGUUUACAAUGACAAGGGCACAAAGACCCAUGCGAUUAUGAAGCAUAGAACAUUGAUGGUGAAGCAUAUGCACUGGUAUCAGGUGGGUGAGAAAGUUUCAGUUUGCGAGUGUAGAUGCACUAGAGCACAUUUGCCACCAAAUUUUGGCUGUUUGAGCCUCGCUGUGGUUUCCAUGACAUAGGGGGUUGGUACGUUGAGACAUAUGGCAAAGAUAAGCACGGUCGUACAAAGCCAUCACAAAGGUUUUGGGAUGGCUUGGACUAUAAUAUGCAAGCUGACAGAAGACUUCAUCCAGCAAUGUAUUUGUUUGCUCUUGCAUAUCGGACACUUGAUCUUGAAUACGCUAAAGCAAGCAAGAAAUCAUUUAGGCAUGUUGUUGGAGCACAAAUGUUUCGAGUUAUUCAUUGGUGCAAGAAACUUGUUCAAUAGGUAUAUAUCCGUUGGGCUUUUGACAAUGUUAACAAAUUCAUUGUGUCCUUGCUAGAACAAUUUUGACUGAUCAUCAAUCACUUAAUAAUCUCUAUUUAGUGAUUUUGGAAGAAGAUAUUGCUGUCAAUUUAUAUUUACAAGAUUCUGGGGUGGAAUGCUCUGUAAGUACUGAAAAGGAAAACUCAUUGCAAGCCUCAAGUAGUUCUAUUACUUGGUUAGAGGAGAUUCAACUUUUCAUUUGCCUAGUGAUGGAUAUAUAUUGGGGAAAUACUGAAGUCACUUCACUUGGUAUGGGAUCGGCUGGAGUCACUUCAACUUUUUAUCAUGCCUGAGGCUAUUUGAACCAACAUUGAUUUUGUCCAAAAUAUCUCUUGCGCUACUUGUCUCGGAAAUGUUAUGCAAUCCGAAUGUUCACGGAUAUACUUGGUGUAUUUCUAUGCGUAUAACACACAUCUGCAGUUGCCUUUAUGCGUUAUUAGACAAAGAUUCUUUAUGUUGCUCAGUGUUAUGGAAGCUAGUUGUUUCACUGCACUAUGAGUUUCAUCCCCUUAUUGGAAAGGUCCAUGAAGCAGGACGGUUUUCUGGAAUUUACUUCGCCAUCAUAUCUCCUGUAUUGCCCUCCUGCUAAUGCUCGAUAAUACCUAUCCCUACAAUAGACGGGUCUUCCAUCAGCAGCCUCAGCAGCUGCUGCUGCUAGAUCAUCAUCAGUUAUCACCUCCACUGGCAGUUUAAGCAACUCCUCUUUUCUACAAUAUGCAUUAAAAAAUUGGAAUCACAUUGUGGACAAACACUGGAAGAUAGUAAAGGAUCUUUGUGUCUUCUCUUACCUCAGGUUGAGCUUUGUAUUAACCUUGGGAACGGUUGAUUUAAUUUCUUCCGUGGUAAAGGUAGUUCGAAGAAAAUUCUCCACCGGUGUAGCAAAUAUAAAUAGCAUAACUCCUGUCACAAGCAAUGCUCCUGUCCCAACUAGAGUUUGCUUCAGCAAUUUAACGACUGGUUUAACCUGGAAACAUGAAAUAUACGUCAAUUAUGCUGCAAGAAAUCGAAAUUAACAUACUGCUCUUCUAGUCUGUAUCAAAAAUUGUUCUGAAUUCAAGCUAUGCUUUGAUACUUUGUGAUGUUCCGUACCUUGUAAGAGCCCAACAAUCUAUCACGAGCUAGGAUCUGCAAAUAAACUCAGUUUUCAGAUUAUAUUGCCUGAAAUAAGUAUGUCACUGAGUAGUAGUAAUAUUUAUUACCACAUUUCACCCACGCUUUAUUCUAUAUCCUUCAUAUUCACUAUUUCUGAACAAACCUUUUUGCUGUUUAAUGCUUAAUCAGAAGUGUCUCUUACAAUUUUGAGAGGCGAUUACAGUUGCUAACCUAUUAGCUAUUCAUUUACCAAUGCCGCCCCUCCCCCUCCUCCCAUAAAUUUUAUCCUUUUGCCUACUGACAAAUUCUGCAGUAAGUAAAAUCAUCAAUUUGUCGGUUUCAAUGUAUAUAACGCAUUGACUCUAGCCUUUGAUAGGAUUUUCACAAGUGAUGUCUUUGAGGAUACUUUUGUUCUGUUCUUGGGUACCGGAAAAAUGUGUAAAAGAGGCUAACCUCGGGCGGCUUGACCCACAUCUGUCCGUCAUACCAACCACUUUCUUCAUAAGGGAUUACCGCUGAUAGAAGUCUAUCACCAACAUAACUCCAACCC